rnacentral:rRNA from 1 species
UGGGGAAUAUUGCACAAUGGAGGGAACUCUGAUGCAGCGACGCCGCGUGAACGAAGAAGGCUUUCGAGUCGUAAAGUUCUUUUAUAUGGGAAGAGAAUGACGGUACCAUAAGAAAAAGCCCCGGCUAACUACGUGCCAGCAGCCGCGGUAAUACGUAGGGGGCUAGCGUUGUCCGGAAUCACUGGGCGUAAAGGGUUCGCAGGCGGAAAUGCAAGUCAGGGGUAAAAGGCAGUAGCUUAACUACUGUAAGCAUUUGAAACUGCAUAUCUUGAGAAGAGUAGAGGUAAGUGGAAUUUUUAGUGUAGCGGUGAAAUGCGUAGAUAUUAAAAAGAAUACCGGUGGCGAAGGCGACUUACUGGGCUCAUUCUGACGCUGGGGAACGAAAGCGUGGGUAGCAAACAGG